GACGAACGCUGGCGGCGUGCUUAACACAUGCAAGUCGAACGGAAAGGCCCUGCGUUUGUGGUGUGCUCGAGUGGCGAACGGGUGAGUAACACGUGAGUAACCUGCCCUUGACUUUGGGAUAACUUCAGGAAACUGGGGCUAAUACCGGAUAGGAGCUCCUGCUGCAUGGUGGGGGUUGGAAAGUUUCGGCGGGUGGGGAUGGACGCGCGGCUUAUCAGCUUGUUGGUGGGGUAGUGGCUUACCAAGGCUUUGACGGGUAGCCGGCCUGGGAGGGUGGCCGGCCACAUUGGGCCUGAGGUACGGCCCAGACGCCUACGGGAGGCAGCAGUGGGGAGUAUGGCACAAUGGGCGGAAGCCUGAUGCAGCAACGCCGCGUGCGGGAUGACGGCCUUCGGGUUGUAAACCGCUUUCGCCUGUGACGAAGCGGGAGUGACGGUAAUGGGUGAAGAAGCACCGGCUAACUACGUG
rnacentral:rRNA from 1 species